rnacentral:lncRNA from 1 species
AAGAACAAUUUUGGCAUUUCUCCCAUCCGUAUUUCGAAGAACUCAAAGAAUAAAAGUUUUAGAUCUACUUCUCUUUCUAGAACAUCUUGAAUCUUCCAAAUUGGAGUUCAGACGAAUGAGUAAUGACCAUUUUCCCAACAGAUGUCGAAGGAGAAAAUUCCAAAAAGUUAAAUUCGUCAGUUAAUCUGCGGGGCCAAUUGAUAAAGUGAAUCCGCUGGGGCAGAUUCCUCCAGUACAUUGAAUCCACAAGGGCGGAUUCGUCAAGCUAGAUCAAGUUGGGACGCAUUUUUUAGGCAAAAUUUGAUACUUUUGUGGAUUGGGUUUCCUCCUAAGCUAGGGAUUUGACUGGUAACCUAUAAAUACAUGUUAAAGGGAUACUAGAAAAAAAAUAAUUCUUUUAUAGCGGUGGCUAAAAUUCAGAGAUGGAGCUCUAAUGCAAAAACACUUGUUAACACCAAUAGAGGCAGGGAAUUGAAGGAGGCUUGGCGAUGGAAAUCUUUAUAAGAGUUUUUCUUCUCUAACUUUACUUUGAUACUUGUAAUAUCAUUAGGUGUUAAAUAAUAUUCUGGAAAGUUUAAUUUAUUUAUUAUGAGUUAAACUUCUAUCUGUUUAAAUUAAAUUGGC